UUAUUAAAUGAAUCAUGAACUUUUUCCUCUCCUCUCAAUCUCCUUCACUUUCCUUCUCUCUCCUCACCGACAUUGCCUCACCUAACCUUCGACACCCUCCUCUCUCUGUCCUGAGCCGCGCACCACCACCGCCUCCACCGUACUCCGUUCUCCCUCGUCGAUGCUUCUGAUGGUGUGUGUUGCCUGGUUGCUGAAUUGUUUCUACCACCUUCUUUAGCUCUGCCUCCCUCUCGUGCUUUGCGUCACCGCCGCCACCGACGGUGGCGUUUCGGGAUCUCCAUGCUUGCUGCACUACUUGAUUGGUAAUCUCUUAAACUCUUGUCACUAAUUUAAAUGAAUUCAAGUAAAACCCCCAAAUUGAAGAAACCCUAACUUUCUUUUAAUUUUCUCUUUCCUCUUGUUAUGGUGCAACGACCACUCCAUCGCCGCUGUCGUUGCUGUGUUGGUGCCUUGGUGGUGUAUUGCUCUUGGUCUUGGUGUGGGGUUGCCCGACCUCCCUACCCCUCUCUUUGGCCUCGCCUCUCUGCUCACGUGAGCCGCUGUGGCCCUGCUCCUCUGCCGCCGUUGUUGUUGCUGCUUGUCGUUCUUGUUUAUUGCUUCCUUGAUUGUUGGUUCCUUCCUCCUUCCUGCGAUUCCAACUUCCUUGAGGGUAUAAAUUCAAGCUCACUUAAGCCUCCAUUUAUUUAUUAGUUGUACUAAUUUUAUGGAAAUAAAUUGUUUUGAUAAAUUAUUUCUAUUCUAUAGAAUUGAACUCGAGUAUGUUUGGCAAGAAAAGUGAGAAACUCAAGUUAACAUUUCAUACUUUAAAGGAUUUUCUAAAUACUAAUGUAAUUAAGAUUUCAAGUUUUGAUUAUAUAUUAACUAAAUAAUAAUUUUAAGUAUUUUAAUAAAUUGUCAUUGAACUAUAGGUUUCAAACACACGCCCUGUCAAAUAAUUUAAUUUGGUUUUAAUUAAAAUCAAGCUAAGUCUAGGAUUAGUUCUAAAAAUGAGUUUUCACAAUUUAAUUAAAAGUUUUCUCAAGGAAGCUUAUUAGCUUCUUGCUCGGUCUAGAUUAAUAAGGUAUUAAUUCGUGUUUUGUUUGAUGAGGUGACUUGUUGAGGAAGAUGAACCAGAAGGAUGUAGUUGUGGAAUAUAAGUGGAUAGGUGGGGAUAGUGAUCGAAUGUGUAGCUCUUGGAUUUUAUGUGUGGUGAUUCCAGAGUUAAAAUGUUUUGCAGGUAGCGAGAAUCGAGUUUCAGUUUAGGUUCAAGGUGCGUAGAGUCCUCCGGAUGUCUUAUAUGUUUCAAGGCGGGUUAUGGAUUCUCCAAGUAUAUUUAAGUCUUCCGAUUUGUUAAUGGAUUGUAUUAUUCCUUUCUAGAGCUUUUUGGUUUAUUAUUUAUAGAAUAUGUAUCCUUGUUGAGUUUGGUGACACCCUGGUGAUGUCUUGGGAAAUGUUGUAUGUUGGAAUGUUGUAAUUGAAGCAGGUGAAAGAAAAUCUGACGUAAUAUCCUAAGCAAUGUUUUAGGUUGUCCAUAUUUAGGGGAAGUGCUGCCGAAAUUUUUAAUAACUACUUAAGUUUAAGGGUCUUUAUUAGUGUCAUUGAGAUAGGCUAAACCGUGAUUAAAUAUUUGAAGUUGUCGAAGAGCUAAAGUUUGUUUAGCAGGGUUAAAGUUGAAAUUACGUUCAGUUUGUUUAAAUUAAGUCUAAGAGUGGUUAGAAAGCAGCUCGUUAAGGGCGGGCUGUUACAGGUGAUAUCAGAGCCAUGGUUGAUUUAGGGUGUGUCGUGAUCUCCACAUCACGGAAAGUAAUUUGGGAAUAGGUUUGGUGGUUUGAUUAAGGGGUAAGGAUAUAUGACUUAUAUUUGGGAUGAUUGGCUUGAUUGUUGAAUUCUUGUGGAAUAUUUGGUUAUCAAUGUACUAUUGUCGAAAUCGAAUUAGGCCAAGAUGGUCAUAUGCAAUAAUUUUGAGCUAGGAGACAUAAAUACGUCUUAGAAAUAUGUGAAUAAAGAGACUUGUUGGAGAAAGUGCAUAGUGGAUUCAUUAAGCUCGAUUUAGAUGUCAAGAUGGAAUAUUGUGAGAUAGUGAUUGGAAUAAAUAACUACUUAAGGAGUUAGAGACUAAACGUUCCAGGCUACCAAUUGAGGGUGUUAAAUAAUGAAGUUCUUAAGUUUGAUUAUGGGAAGUCAAAUGAGUAUCUAAGUGAUUUGGCGUAGAAAACUAUUAGGUAAGAUAAGGAUAAGGUUAGAUAAGGAUAAGGUUAUAGGGAGAUAAUAUGAGCAAAAGUUUAAAAUAAGGAUAUUGAAAGGGGAAUAUAAUGGCAGUAGAAUUUGGAAAAAUGUAGACUACUGGUUUGAGAAUUAUUUUGAAUUGAGAAAGGUCAUGUAUCGAAAUUCAAUCUAAAGAAUUCUAAAUUUGUAGGGGUAUCGAGGAAUUUUAUUAGAAACAUGAGAUAGAACUUGAAGAUUCUAGUUAAAAGAGAUGAAUUUGGUUCGUGGAAUGGUCCCUUGAAGGUUUAAAAAUUUGAUGUUAAGUCGUGUAUUUUGGAACUCUCGUGGUCUUAUUUGGUCUUAUUGCGUAUGGAGGAUCAGAAUUGAAAGAUAAGUUAUGAGCAUAGUAAUGUGUUAGGAUUUAAGUGAAAGAUUUAGAAUUUCAAAUUGUCUACUUGUUCAUUUAUUUGAUUUUUUGCUCGCUUAUAUUGUGCUCGUGUAUUUAAUUUAAGUUAUUAGGAGUGAAGGUCAAGUAUAGAUAGAUUAAUCUUAGGAAUUAAGGUCGUGGAGGUUUCAGGCGAGGAUUGCAAUUGAGAAAUAAUAUUAGCUGAAAUCGUUGGAGGUGUUCGUCAAAAGAUUCUUCUAAAAUUUCUAUUCGACUUUUAAAAGUGGGAAUGAGUUUUAAAGAAUAUUUAAAAUCAUUCAAAACCUAGUAUUUUUCGAGUUUCAAAUUGUUUAAUUGUGGUUGAGUUGAAUUUCCUUUAAUAUCGACUUUCCAUUCGAGUAUUCCUAGUAUUUUUGUUCUUUCGUAAGACUACAUUUCUCCUUCACACUCUCAAAUAACUCCUAGGACAUUAAAAUCAUUGAAAUGCCUCCCAUUUUGUAGUACAGAUUCAAAUUCGAAGCCUCAAACCUUAUGUGAUUCCUCACAUUAGCUUCCCAUCACCAUGUCAUCUUUAACAACCUCGAUCAUCAAAUGAAAUCCUAUUGAAAGCUUUGUACUCAUAUUUGUGGAAUGGUUGUCCCCCGCCAAAAUCCUCUUCCUCAUUGAAUGUUUGUUCAGUGGCUAUAAGCGUUGAACAUCCUAAUUUUAAGUUUCUAUUAUAGAAUAAGAAUUUUACUUUGAUUACUAACCUUACGAUUUCGAACUUGUGAUUUUAAGGAUUAUAAUUUUAUUCUAAUAAUUAGUUUUAUGAUUUAAAGUUUCGCGGACGAAACUUAUUUUAAGGGUGGUAUAGUGUAAUAUCCUUGAUUUUAAGCAGCUUUUAAUAUGCUAUUAAGAGUAAUUAUCGUCUUAAAUGUGUCAUUAGAAUUUCUCUUAAACGUAAUUUGAGAUAAAGAUCUUGAAAUUUUGUUAAACUAGUGAAUGAAUUUGAGAUUUUCAUUAGUACAUUAAUCUCGUUUUCGAAUUGAUUCUCGAGUAUUACCUUGAGAUAAAUUUUUGAAAAUUUAUUUGUUAUAAGAGUUAACAUUUUGUUAAUUCUAAAUUAAUUUAUUUAAAGACAAUAAUAUUAAUGGAAUUGGGUUUCUACUUUAAAUCAAAUUAGGGAUAAUAUAUGUAUAAAAAUAAUAAUAAUAAAAAAAAUUUCAUUGUUAAAUUAGUUGAUGAGAAUUCUAUUUAAAUAAUUAAGAUUUUUAUACUUAAGCUUGUUUGUAUAAAUCUGAGUGUGUAAAUGAUUGUUUUAUUAUUAAAUGAAUCAUGAACUUUCUCCUCUCCUCUCAAUCUCCUUCACUUUCCUUCUCUCUCCUCACCGACAUUGCCUCACCUCACCUUCGACACCCUCCUCUCUCUGUCCUAAGCCGCGCACCACCACCGCCUCCACCGUACUCCGUUCUCCCUCGUCGGUGCUUCUGAUGGUGUGUGUUGCCUGGUUGCUGAAUUGUUUCUACCACCUUCUUUAGCUCUGCCUCCCUCUCGUGCUUUGCGUCACCGCCGCCACCGAUGGUGGCGUUUCGGGAUCUCCAUGCUUGCUGCACUACUUGAUUGGUAAUCUCUUAAACUCUUGUCACUAAUUUAUUUGAAUUCAAGUAAAACCCCCAAAUUGAAGAAACCCUAACUUUCUUUUAAUUUUCUCUUUCCUCUUGUUAUGGUGCAACGACCACUCCACCGCCGCUGUCGUUGCUGUGUUGGUGCCUUGGUGGUGUAUUGCUCUUGGUGUUGGUGUGGGGUUGCCCGACCUCCCUACCCCUCUCUUUGGCCUCGCCUCUUUGCUCACGUGAGCCACUGUGGCCCUGCUCCUCUGCCGCCGUUGUUGUUGCUGCUUGUCGUUCUUGUUUAUUGCUUCCUUGAUUGUUAGUUCCUUCCUCCUUCCUGCAAUUCCAACUUCCUUGAGGGUAUAAAUUCAAGCUUAAUUAAGCCUCCAUUUAUUUAUUAGUUGUACUAAUUUUAUGGAAAUAAAUUGUUUUGAUAAAUUAUUUCUAUUAUAUAGAAUUGAACUCGAGUAUGUUUGGCAAGAAAAGUGAGAAACUCAAGUUAACAUUUCAUACUUUAAAGGAUUUUCUAAAUACUAAUGUAAUUAAGAUUUCAAGUUUUGAUUAUAUAUUAACUAAAUAAUAAUUUUAAGUAUUUUAAUAAAUUGUCAUUGAACUAUAGGUUUCAAACACACGCCCUGUCAAAUAAUUUAAUUUGGUUUUAAUUAAAAUCAAGCUAAGUCUAGGAUUAGUUCUCAAAAUGAGUUUUAACAAUUUAAUUAAAAGUUUUCUCAAGGAAGCUUAUUAGCUUCUUGCUCGGUCUAGAUUAAUAAGGUAUUAAUUCGUGUUUUUUUUGAUGAGGUGACUUGUUGAGGAAGAUGAACCAGAAGGAUGUAGUUGUGGAAUAUAAGUGGAUAGGUGGGGAUAGUGAUCGAAUGUGUAGCUCUUGGAUUUUAUGUGUGGUGAUUCCAGAGUUAAAUUUUUUUUCAGGUAGCGAGAAUCGAGUUUCAGUUCAGGUUCAAGCAUGCCUGACGAGUCGUCACCUCCUUCUGGUGGCCACGAGGAGCGUGGCAUGACGCGUCAGUCUACUGGCGCGGGUCCCCUAUGGGUGGGUCCUGAGCUCUACGACAGUCGUGAUCUGCACUACGACCUAGAGCACCACGUGACUUCCCGCCUUCACGCGAGGAGAGAGACCACGGUUCCCGGCUACGGCGCAGCGACGAGUGAGACCGUUUUUAGUUUCCUGAGCUCGGACGCCCAGGCUUUGGUGAGGGCGAGCUCACUGUUUCCGGUGGUCGAGACCUUCUGGGAGAUACUGCGGCUUAACAUCUCCCUGUCCUUUCUGCGGUCGUUCAUGAGGUGGUGGUGGGAUACCACCAACACCUUUCACUUUCCUUAGGGUGAGAUGACGAUCACUCCCGAGGACUACAAGGCUUUGACGGGCUUGACCUUUACAGGGAUCCCCGUUCGUCUAAGGUCCGAUGGCCCACUGCCGACUGUUGCUGAGGGUACCAGGCUCCUGGGCUCGUGGAUGGGCAUGAGAUUGCCUUCGUACCAGCCCCGUGGGAUACCUUUUGCUGACCUGAUGCGGGCCCUGGAGCAUGGGGUAGAGGAGUCGUCUUCGAGACAGGCUCGACUGUUCUACCUCCAUUUUAUUACUUCCACUUUUCUAUCGGGUCCGACUGACACUUUUGACCCGAGGUGGAUAGGCAUGGUGGAGGACGUGUCUACACUGGGUGACUAUCGCUGGGGCAAUUUGGGCUAUGCGACGCUCGUCGGCCAGAUGAGUUUGGCGGUGCGUGACUCGGACCCGAGUAGACGUCACUUUGUCAUUACAUUAGCGGGAGUGCCGCCUUUGAUCGAGCUGUGGGCCUUUGAGCACUUACCUUGGCUGGCUCCCUGAAAGGGGCAGAGGCCUUUGGAGUACCCUGUCGGUCAUCGUUGGGGUUGGAAGAAGAAGCUGACAGUGCGUCCACCGCCCGAUACCGUGUGGGAUCUCAUUCGGGACGGGAACCCUGAGCAUGUGGUUUGGACCCCAUGGCUCUCUUUUAGGGGUACUUAUGCUUCGGUCAGGGAUAGUUAUGCCCUGAGCCAGAUGCGGGUCUUGUUCGUUGGCCGCCGGGACCCUGUCUGGUACCUGGGAGAGCGGGUACGUAUGCAGACGGUCGGGGCUUUUUCGGUGCCUAGGCCUCCGCCUGCGACCAUGCUGUCUACUCGUUCGAAAGGCGAGUCGUGGAGGGUCCACUCGAGGACUGGCGUGCCGGCGACGGAGUUGGUGAAAGAGGGAGCUAGCUAUUAUCAUUUUAUCCAGGCUUCUCUUCGUCUCCCGGAGCCUGGCGCUGAGUAUCCUGACCCUUCGUUGGGGGGGAUGGGUGCUUCCCGAUGCUCGGAUCCCGUAUACCGGAGAGAGUGGAUCCGAGAUUGUGGAGACUUUCCCGGAAGACCGGGUUUUCCAUGCUCCGCUCCCUGAGGGAGUACAGGCGGUUCCGGCCCGUACGGCCAACGCGAUGGUGGGGGUGAUCAACCAGUUGAAGUCCGCGUUGGUUCGGGCCCGAUCUGCACUUUCUUGCAGGAGCCCCCACUCUACUAGGACGGGUGCUGGACGAGCCGGGGCCGACGACGCGGGUCCCUCGGACGGGGGACACGGUCGUGAGAGAGAGAGGGCACGGCACUUGCCCCUACGGCAUCGCCGUUCCGACGCGGGGGUGAGUUCUUCGGGGGAGAGGUCCGGGCCGGAGCGUAGGUGACGUUCCGUGUCGGUGGCCCGAGAGCCUAGCUCCGAGUUGCAGUCACAGCCUCAUUUUUGGGGUGAUUCUGGCUGGGGGCCCUCAUACCACGGGGAGUGGAGUGGAUGGACCGGCGAGGCUUGGAGACAUGAAGCCGAUGACGAGUCUUAGGCUUAUCUCCUGUUUUGUAUAUAUUCAUUCUUGUAUUCCGCGUGUAUAUAUAUUUUUCGCGAUUUUUUUUGGUGCAAGAAUGUUUUGAGCCUUCCGUGGGCUUUGCCUUAA